CUCCCAAUUCUGCAGGCUGCCCAGAAGCAUGGCUGGGAAGGCCUUAGGAAACUUACAAUUAUGGCAGAAGGCGAAGGGGAAGCAGGCACAUAUUCACAUGGUGACAGGAAAGAAAGAGUGAAGGGGGAGGUGCUACAUACUUUAAACAACCAGAUCUCAUGAGAACUCAACUACCAUGAGAACAGCAAGGGGGAAAUUCACCUCCAUGAUCAAAUCACCUCUCACCAGGCCCCUCCUCCAACACUGAAGAUCACAAUUCAACAUGAGAUUUGGGUGGGGACACAGAGACAAACCAUAUCAUCUUCACACUCUCAACUUUCUGUCCUUUUUAUUCUUUUUAUGGGCUUCAGAAUCAACUAAUCAGUGUUCAGUCACUUCCUUUGAAAGGCUACUACAUCAUGGUGACUUGAUCCAAACAUCGAAGCACCCUGUGACCCGCCCCCAGCACAAGCUUCACCCUGGGACAGAGCCACCAGCCAUUCAUCCCCCAGAAGACCAGACACAGCAAAGCUGCAGCCACAGCUCACAGCUAUCCCAGGAUGGGGUUAGUUGCUUUGCAAUGGGACAGAGGGUCCUCUGAGAGUGCAGGCAGAACUGUGUUUGUCAAGGGGUUUGAAGGUGAGGUUCCAGAAACCAUUUGUGAAAAUUAGAUGAGAAAAUAUCUCCUUCCUUCAUCAGCUGCCUGGUGCUAUAGAAUCCACUUCCAAAUAUUGUCUUUUGGACAAAGUACCAAACAUGUAACUGAGACUCCAUUCUAAGACCAUAAAUAUUUUGCAGAUACCUACGUGGAUCUGGAUACAAAUGCUACUGCUGGUGAGAACAGAGCUAUGGCAUGCCUACUUCACAGUCUCUGACUUAGCCCAAGUUCUAAGGGUUGACUCUAACAGUCUUGAAAACUACUUCAGGAUACAUUUUUUCCCUUGAAACAAUGCUGUAAAUGGUGGCCAGAAUCCCAAAUACAUAUCCAAUUGUCCAUAGCAUUGAGGAGGCAUCUUUGACAAGGUGAGAAUUUUACUUGAUCGUAAAAACAUCUGUGUUGGAGUCUCAACCAAGACUCUUUCUAACUACAUUACCUUGGAUAAGUCACUUCUCUGAAUCAAAAUGAGAGUCAUGUUAAUACUCAACAGGUCUACUUCAAUUCAAUGAACCAUAUGUCAGGAAUUACAGGAGGAGCUGCAGGUUCUAAGUUUGAAGAGUAUCUUUCCCCAGGCCUGGGAAUCCAGCAGCCCUAGCUGUCUGUUGCUGGGUACCCUCAAGCAAGUUUCUCCACCUUAAAAUUCAGUAACAAUGAGAGGCAGGAUCACCCAAGCAGGCUCUAGAGUCAGACAAUUUUGGAUAAAUUCCAACUGCACCAUUUACUAAGUAUCAACUUUGAGUACAUUAAGCUCCUUCAUUUUCUGUAAGGAAAGGUAUAUUAUAAUGGCAGUUUUAUAAGAUUGCUAUGAAUAUUGAGAAUAUGCAUGUAAAUUUCUUGGCAC
rnacentral:lncRNA from 1 species